CAGUCGCCGCGGGAAUACGAAGGGUGCAAGCGUUAAUCGGAAUUACUGGGCGUAAAGCGUGCGCAGGCGGUUUGUUAAGACAGAUGUGAAAUCCCCGGGCUUAACCUGGGAACUGCAUUUGUGACUGGCAAGCUAGAGUAUGGCAGAGGGGGGUGGAAUUCCGCGUGUAGCAGUGAGAUGCGUAGAGAUGUGGAGGAACACCGAUGGCGAAGGCAGCCCCCUGGGCCAAUACUGACGCUCAUGCACGAAAGCGUGGGGAGCGAACAGGAUUAGAUACCCCGGUAGUCCCUGUCUCUUAUAC
rnacentral:rRNA from 1 species